rnacentral:lncRNA from 1 species
CAGGCACACAACGUUGAACCAACGUUGAAAAUAUGUUGAAAUUUGGUUGUAGCGUUGAUCAACGUAAAAUCAACGUUGUAUCAACGUCAAUUCUAAUAUGAAGCAGGCAUAACCUGUGAAUGGGGACGAAGUCUGUAUGUAUUAUUUUCUUACCUCAAACAUGUUAAUAAAGGAAACGGAAAUACCGUAACGUUCCCGAUUUCGGUUCUGUGGUUAGGGAUUUAGCUGUGACGUUGUUUAAAUUAUGACGUCAUAUUCAAUGUAAAAAAAAGAAACGCUUCCAUCAGGUAACGUUUUUUUUUCAAAUCAAACAAUUAUUAAAAAUGAAAUUGUAUUGAGUUCCAAUCUUAUAUUUUACUAGACUGAUACAUAUAAUUUUCUUUUCAAAGUCUCAUGCAAACAAGACAGAUUUCUGCGCAAAUGCGGGGAAAACCGGAACAGGAACUAGAUCUGAAAAAAAAAGUUAACGAUUUUGAGUUCAUUAGUAGAAUGAAAAAUUCGGGAAAUUUUCCCGUUUUUUUUUUUUUUUUUUUUUUUAUUGAUUUUUCUACCGUAAUUGGGGACUUCGUCCCCAUAUCAACGUUUAAAUCACGUUGUUGAAUCAACGUUGAUUUGUGGUUAAAAUUUUCAACGUUGAACUGCCAACGUUGAAUCAACAUUGAAUUUGAGUUGAUGCUUUCAAUGCUUUAAUUGGU